CCCAAACCGAGUGCCGUCCUGGGUCUGAAUGUGGGCCUGUGUUCUCCCGGUCCACCGUCCUCAGGCCUGCACAGGGGACUGAAAGAGAAUGGGCCACAGGAAUGCACCCAGAACAGAGCCAAAUUGUUCAAGCUGCGUGAAGAAGAAAGAAAAAACGAGUUGGGGGGGUGGUUGGGAGAAGAAGAAAAGGUUUCCUUGUUGGUUCGAUUUCUCUGGAGAUAUCUGGAGGAUAACACGGCAAUUUUUUUUUUUUAGGAGGGGCACCGGGGAGCAAAAACUAGAGAGCCGGGUUUAUCGGCACAGCGGCCCAUACAGAGAGGUGACAUUGGAGAGAACAAUUGCUAGGUUGUUUGGUCACAUUUGCUGGUAUGAAUGAAGCUUAAGAAAAGCUGUCUUUGGAUUGCUACUAAUAGUCAUCUUCAACAUGCCUGCUCUCUCUCUCUCUCUCUCUCUCUUUCUCGGUUCCCUUAUGAAAUAAGGGCACACUGGUAAUAAACAAAGCACUAUAAAAGAUCAGAUUGACGUAUUCCGUGGGCUCAUUCAAUGUCGGGAGCGAGGCUUCUGCACACCAUCGCUGGUGCUUUCGGCUCCAAAAGCCGGGCCGGGACGGACAGACGGUGGUGGGAUGAGGCUAGACCCCCUUCUCCCUUUCUGGAACCUUGCCGAAUCCAUCAGGGCCGUGUCCCUGGUCAGCUAACCCACACCUGACGGCUAAGGGACACAGGAAAAGAUGGCAGAGUAGAGACCCUUGGAUUUGCUCCUUUGGAUUUUGGAUUUUGACCUGAGUUCCUUUGUCAGUCCUCAUGCCAGACCCAGUGGUCAAAGAAGGUGGAGACUCAACGGCUGUUUCUUUUUCCUUCAUUUUUCAAACAAAGAAGCUUCAUGAGAACAUUAAGCCCCAAAGAGAAUUGUGUUCAUUGCAAGACUUGUCAAGGAUCGGUGGAGAGAUUUAUAUAAACAAAUCAUUCAGUUCUUCCUUUGGUGACCUUGGUCCUGAGAGUGAAUGCGAUGGUCCUACAGCUUUUUGGCCCUUCAUCAGUACAGAAGCUGCAGUCUGUGCUCAGCAAGACCUCACCAAAUGCAGGAAAAUUAAAGAGAGAAAUGGUCCAUGGCGUAUUCUUACCCACCAUAAAUUGGCGUCAUUUUGGCCACCAUCCAGGGGAGAGAAACCAGCCUCCUGAAACAGAGAAAAAAGAUCAGAAGCUGCUAUGCAACUUUCCUGGGAAAGAAUUAUCCUUUGCUCCAUUGCUCAGUCAUUCAACAAACACCACCCAGGACAUACAUCGAGUGGAAUAAGGCCUAACGCUGUCUUUCAGAGGUACGUUUCCCUAAGUAUCAUCUCCCCGGCCCCCAAGACCCUGCCAAGCUUUUGAGAGAACUUCUUUGAGAAAGGGUGAACAAGGCUCACACCCAUCAGAAGAAACUCCCUCUGGCAUUUCCAUUCGGAGGUCAUUACUGGCUUCCGUGGAACCACUCUGGGACUGGGAGGGUACCUCAGGGGAUAGGGGAUGUGAAUUUUGAAACUAAUAAUAAAGACAGCUUAUGUGCAGAUAGCUCUUUGCA
ensembl:lncRNA